rnacentral:rRNA from 1 species
GUGCAGCAGGCGCGAAUCCUUCGCAAUGUGCGAAAGCAUGACGAGGCGACGCCGCGUGGAAGAUGAAGCCCUGCGGGGUGUAAAUCCCUUUUAUAGGGGGAGAACUUUUGUGACUGUACCCUAUGAAUAAGGAGCUACUAAUCACGUGCCAGCAGUAGCGGUAAUACGUGAGCUCCGAGCGUUAUCCGGAUUUACUGGGCGUAAAGCGUUCGUGGGCGCUCUGUUAAGCUUUCUGUUAAAUCUCUAAGGCCCAACCUUAGAGCUGCAGAAAAAACUGGCAGGGUAGAGGAUGUCAGGGGCUGAUGGAACUCUCGGUGUAGAGGUGGAAUUCGUUGAUAUCGAGGGGAACACCAAAAGCGAAGGCAUUCAGCUGGGGCAGUCCUGACGCUGAGGAACGAAAGCGUGGGUAUCGAACGGGAUUAGAUACCCGCGUAGUCCCUGGGACUGCC